rnacentral:tRNA from 1 species
UACAAGGUGGUUGAGAACUAGACAAUAAACUGUAAAUUUAUAUACGGGUAAUACCCCCUUGUGU